rnacentral:rRNA from 1 species
CCUACGGGUGGCAGCAGUGCGGAAUAUUGGUCAAUGGCCGCAGGGCUGAACCAGCCAAGUCGCGUGAGGGAUGACGGUCCUAUGGAUUGUCAACCUCUUUUGUCAGGGCGCAAAGGGCGCCACGUGUGGCGCUUUGCGAGUACCUGACGAAAAAGCAUCGGCUAACUCCGUGCCAGCCGCCGCGGUCAUACGGAGGAUGCGAGCGUUCUCCGGAUUUAUUGGGUUUAAAGGGGGCGCAGGCGGAAUGUCAAGUCAGCGGUAAAAUUUCGGGGCGAAACCCCGUCGUGCCGUUGAAAAUGGCGUUCUUGAGUGAGCGAGAAGUAUGCGGAAUGCGUGGUGUAGCGGUGAAAUGCAUAGAUAUCACGCAGAACUCCGAUUGCGAAGGCAGCAUACCGGCGCUCAACUGACGCUCAUGCACGAAAGCGUGGGUAUCGAACAGGAUUAGAUACCCGUGUAGUC